AGAGAGAGACAUGCGCGCAUAUCAAUAAGCGGAGGAAAAGAAACUAACAAGGAUUCCCCUAGUAACGGCGAGUGAAGCGGGAAGAGCUCAAAUUUGAAAUCUUAAAGGGUUUCCCUUUACGAAUUGUAGUUUAAAGAAGUGUUUUCUGUUGAGGUUUUGGUAAAAGUUCUUUGGAAUAGGACAUCAUAGAGGGUGAGAAUCCCGUAUUUGACCUUUACUUUCAACUUUGUGAUACACUUUCAAAGAGUCGGAUUGUUUGGGAAUGCAGUCCAAAAUGGGCGGUAAAUUUCAUCUAAAGCUAAAUAUUGGCGAGAGACCGAUAGCGAACAAGUACCGUGAGGGAAAGAUGAAAAGAACUUUGAAAAGAGAGUUAAACAGUACGUGAAAUUGUCAAAAGGGAAGCGUUUGACACCAGUGUUGUUUUCUCGAAAAUCAAUUAAAGAACUGUUUAUGCUAAGUUGUUUAGACUUUAUCAGCUAACUGUUUAGUUUUGAGCUUUUCUUUAAUGCACCUUUCAGUUAACAAGUCAACAUCAAUUUCUUUUGCUGUAAAAAAGCUUGAGGAAGGUGGCUUGAGAUUCGUCUUAGUGUUUAUAGCCUCUUGCCUAUGCAGUCGGAGAGAUUGAGGUCUGCAGCGUAGAUCCUUCGGGGCUAAAUGCAUUUGUGCUAAGUUAUAGCAUUUUAUAGACAACUUGUUGACUAUGAUUUGUCUUGUAGCUUACUCGCUUAUGUUAUUUUACCUACGCUUAGGAUGUUGAGCGCAUGUCUCUCUCU
rnacentral:rRNA from 1 species